CCUACGGGUGGCAGCAGUCGAGAAUCAUUCACAAUGGGGGAAACCCUGAUGGUGCGACGCCGCGUGGGGGAAUGAAGGUCUUCGGAUUGUAAACCCCUGUCAUGUGGGAGCAAAUUAAAAAGAUAGUACCACAAGAGGAAGAGACGGCUAACUCUGUGCCAGCAGCCGCGGUAAUACAGAGGCCUCAAGCGUGGUUCGGAAUCACUGGGCGUAAGGCGUGCGUAGGCUGUUUCGUAAGUCGGGUGUGAAAGGCGCGGGCUCAACCCGCGGACGGCACAUGAUACUGCGAGACUAGAGUAAUGGAGGGGGAACCGGAAUUCUCGGUGUAGCAGUGAAAUGCGUAGAUAUCGAGAGGAACACUCGUGGCGAAGGCGGGUUCCUGGACAUUAACUGACGCUGAGGCACGAAGGCCAGGGGAGCGAAAGGGAUUAGAUACCCGAAUAGUC
rnacentral:rRNA from 1 species